CUGUGACCUGUAGAUGGGCCUGCGGCGCAUUAGCUAGUUGGUGAGGUAACGGCUCACCAAGGCGACGAUGCGUAGCCGACCUGAGAGGGUGAUCGGCCACACUGGGACUGAGACACGGCCCAGACUCCUACGGGAGGCAGCAGUAGGGAAUCUUCCGCAAUGGACGCAAGUCUGACGGAGCAACGCCGCGUGAGUGAUGAAGGUUUUCGGAUCGUAAAGCUCUGUUGCCAGGGAAGAAAAGUGCUGAGAGUAACUGCUCAGCAUGUGACGGUACCUGAGAAGAAAGCCCCGGCUAACUACGUGCCAGCAGCCGCGGUAAUACGUAGGGGGCAAGCGUUGUCCGGAAUUAUUGGGCGUAAAGCGCGCGCAGGCGGUUGUUUAAGUUUGGUGUCUAAUCCCGGGGCUCAACCCCGGGUCGCACUGAAAACUGGACGACUUGAGUGCGGGAGAGGAAAGUGGAAUUCCACGUGUAGCGGUGAAAUGCGUAGAGAUGUGGAGGAACACCAGUGGCGAAGGCGACUUUCUGGACCGUAACUGACGCUGAGGCGCGAAAGC
rnacentral:rRNA from 1 species